UACAGAGGUCCCGAGCGUUGUUCGGAUUUAUUGGGCGUAAAGGGUGCGUAGGCGGCGGAGUAAGUUGGGUGUGAAAUCCCGGGGCUUAACCUCGGAAUUGCAUUCAAUACUGCUUCGCUCGAGUACUGGAGAGGAGGCUGGAAUUUACGGUGUAGCAGUGAAAUGCGUAGAUAUCGUAAAGAAGGCCGGUGGCGAAAGCGAGCCUCUGGACAGUUACUGACGCUGAUGCACGAAGGCCAGGGGAGCAAACGGG
rnacentral:rRNA from 1 species